rnacentral:rRNA from 1 species
AGAGUUUGAUCAUGGCUCAGAAUGAACGCUGGCGGCAGGCCUAACACAUGCAAGUCGGACGGAAACGAUGAAGAGCUUGCUCUUCAGGCGUCGAGUGGCGGACGGGUGAGUAACGCGUGGGAAUCUACCCUUUAGUUGGGGACAACAUAUGGAAACGUAUGCUAAUACCGAAUAUGCUCUACGGAGUAAAGGUGGCCUCUACUUGUAAGCUAUCGCUAAAGGAUGAGCCCGCGUUAGAUUAGCUAGUUGGUGGGGUAAAGGCCUACCAAGGCAACGAUCUAUAGCUGGUUUGAGAGGAUGAUCAGCCACACUGGGACUGAGACACGGCCCAGACUCCUACGGGAGGCAGCAGUGGGGAAUAUUGCACAAUGAGGGAAACCUUGAUGCAGCCAUGCCGCGUGUGUGAAGAAGGCCCGAGGGUUGUAAAGCACUUUCAAUUGUGAGGAAAGGUUAGUUGCUAAUAACAGCUAACUGUGACGUUAACUUUAGAAGAAGCACCGGCUAACUCUGUGCCAGCAGCCGCGGUAAUACAGAGGGUGCAAGCGUUAUUCGGAAUUACUGGGCGUAAAGCGCGCGUAGGCGGACUGUUAAGUCGGUUGUGAAAGCCCUGGGCUCAACCUAGGAAUUGCAUCCGAUACUGGCAAUCUAGAGUUUAGGAGAGGGAAGUGGAAUUCCUGGUGUAGCAGUGAAAUGCGUAGAU